rnacentral:rRNA from 1 species
UACGGAGGGUGCAAGCGUUAAUCGGAAUUACUGGGCGUAAAGCGCACGUAGGCGGACUCGCAGGUCAAUUGUGAAAUACCUGGGCUCAACCCGGGAACUGCAGUUGAAACCGCUUGUCUUGAAUACCUGAGAGGGUGGGGGAAUACCUGGUGGAGAAGUGAAAUUCGUAGAGAUCAGGUGGAACACCGGAGGCGAAGGCGCCUGCCUGGCAGUGUAUUGACGCUGAGGUGCGAAAGUGCGGGGAGCAAACAGG